AUAAGUAUCUGGUUUUGUUCUUCAGGAAAUGGAUUCUGCUAGUGAAAGCACCAGGAAAAGCACUGCGUUACUUCCUAUAGAAACACCCAAAAUGCACGUGGACAUUGGCCCGUUCCUGGAUAUCUGUCUUGCAUCAAACCGCCCAUCGACAGGAGAGGCUUCUUUCAAUAAAAUAAAUGAGAUGAAGGACAGUGUCUCCUCACUGAAGUUCAUCACCAGCAUACUCCUUCAAGCUGAGCUGCACAUUCAAGCAUAUUCAGAAACGAUCAUCAACAUUUUGCCACAGAAAUGUCAGCCAGGCUCUGUGUUCCAUCAGACAGCAAGGAUGGUCAUGUCCAUGACACCGGCUUUGAAUAGACACUAAAGAAAAAUUAGAAGAAUCAGAAGAAUGCUUUCUUCCUCCCAUCGUAAUAACUGGAACCUGAAGGCAAGUGUCAGAGAGCUGCAAAAAAGCUGCAUGAAAAUGUGUGAAGAGAGAGAUGCACUUGACUUGAUGCUGGAGGAGAGAGAGAACAGAAUAAAAAGUGCCGAUCUGGAGCAGGAGGAAUUUAAGAAGACAUUUCAAGAGAAAGAGAUGGCUCUACAGCAGAGAGUACCAAGCAAGACUGUGUUAAGGGAGACCAAAUAUGACAUCUAAAUAAGGUAACCAUGGCAAUGGGAGAGUGAGGCUUCAUGAACUCCAUUAUAGGUGGGACUACCGUGUGCUGUUAGUCAUUGACAUUGAUAUGAACCAAUCUAUCAAGUUUGGUCUCCAUAGCAGACCACUUUGACUGGAUCAAUUGUAUCAACUGUUAAUAACUCAUAAUAACUCCACCCAUUUCGGGGCCUGUGUCUUAUUCCAAGUAGCAGUCAUUGGAGAGAAAAGGGAAUAAUAUUGAUGCUAAUUUUAGAAGUAACUGAAUCUGAGUUAACAAUGGACAGACACUUAACAGAAAGCUUAAAUUGUAUUUGAAUGAUGAAGCUUUUGAUUAUUUUUUAACGUGCUGGAAUCCUGUACAGGAUAGAUGAGUGUCACAUGGUGCACACCUCCAUGUGCUGUGAACCGGUUUAUAAAAAGCACCCAAGUUACUGCUGGCUCCAGCACAGUGUAAGACUGAAGCUGGUGUGCUUCGUG